GGUCUAGUUAAAGACAUGGACCCAUUCAACUACAACUAUUGGAGUUGAGUCUAGAGUAUCUUUGACCUAAUCUAAUUCAACUUUUGAUUAGAUUUGAUCAAUUACUCUAAUUUAGUCCAUUUCUUUAAGCUAACCUUAGGUCUAACCCAAUUAUGGACCUAAUCUAUCUAACCCAUUGACCCACAAGUUUAUUCAAUUGUCUUAGGUCUUAAUUCAUAAUUCUAGACCUACUAGACAACACUUAAUUCUUUUAAUUAAGUAUUUGGGCUGAUGGGUCAGGAUUUGAUAUUUCAAAAAUAAUUUUUAAAUUUGAAAGGUUUUAUUUUUUGUUCACCAAAUAUGUUGACUCAUUACACAAAU
rnacentral:lncRNA from 1 species